UGGUGUGAUGUACUCAGGUGAAUAAGAUGCUUGUGUGAUGUGUAUCACACAAGCAUCUUAUUCACCUGAGUACAUUACA